rnacentral:misc_RNA from 1 species
GUUUCUUUCUUCCUCUCCAAGAUCAGGAAAAAGAAAAUUAAACUUUUAUUUUCUUUUGUCCUCUUUUCCCCUACCCCUGGCUCUGAAUCAGACAUAGUCAUGAAAAUUCAGUUCUCUUUCUCCCCCUCAAUCAAUUUUUCACCUCUGAGUUCUGACAAGAAGUUCUGUUCGCAGGUACUCAUAAUUCGAGGUGUACAGGAAAACCUGUGUUGUAUUCCCUUUUCUGCCGUUCAGCGUUUACAGAAAAUUACAGGUAGGUAGAAACAGGAAAGCAGUGAAAGGAGAUGGUGAUUAUAAGUUCUUUCAGGGCCUGAAUUAGCAAUGAAUUCCGUAUGUUUGCAUUUUGAUUGGUGGAUUUGUUCAAAUAAUCAAUUUCCUUAGCACACUUUGGUUUAAUGUUUAAGGCCACAAACCAGUCGUAUUAAUAUUCAACGAAUCUUAAAUAAAUGUGUACAUGGAAAAAUGUUUUGAUGGUGCAACAUUUAUGUGAAUUUUCGUAUUGCAUUCUAAUGGAAACUCUCUGAUAAAUUACAUACGAAUGGACUUGAAAAAAAAAUACAGCAAACUUCCUAUACAUAUAUUAGACCUUCGGGUAGGGAUUCACUAUCAGGAUUACGUGAGAGAAGCCUCCGGCAAGCAUAGAACACAGUUGAAUGAAACCCGUUUGGGUUGUCUAUGAAGACAAAAUGCCCAGCCUGGGGAACCCUAAUGAUUUCACAUGGGACCUUCAUUUGCUGGCGAGCUUCUUGCGCCCCUUGAUAGUUCAUCCAAUCUUGAAUGCCAUAUAUGAAAGUAGUUGGCACUUUCCACUCUGAUGCACUGUAAACAAAGGUUUUGAGUACUAAGAACUUCCGUUUAUAAACUUCAGCCACUACAUAGUAAUGUUAAGUACAAAAAAAAGCCUUAUGCUUGUAAUAGAAUCUAUUUUGAGUAACGCUUGAAGUCGUGAGAAGUCAUUUCAUCAUAGGCCGGAGUUGAUUCAAGAUGAUGAUGCUCAACAAAAUUGGAACAGGCACAUAGAAAAGAUAUUUUACAAUGACUAUGUAGAAGUUAUAUUUUCAAAUACAAAAAGAAAAAGAGCCAACAUUUCUGCAUAAAAUACAUUUACACUGAACUACUCUGGUUUUCCCCCUCUGCACGUAUGCACAUGUGUGAUGUUUGUGGGUGUGUUCAUGGGCCUGUAUUUUUUAGGGUAUCAAAAGAGAUGAAUCAUCAUUUUUGGAUUACUUUAUAAUCUCUGGUGGAGUAUAAUUAAGUUACCACAAAAGAUUCUUGAAGUAGGAAAAUAUCCUCUUGAAAUUAAAAUUCUCAGUUCAAUCAACUGAUAAUCUUGCAACUAAAAUUCUCAGUCCAAUCAAUUGGUCAGUCACAUAGCCUUACACAGAACGAGUUUCCUUUGGGAAGCCCAUCCACUCUUAACCCAAACAAGCAACUAAUCCAACAAUCCACGGGAACAUUCUAAGUUCUAACCAUAAUGGUUCCCAAGACUCUCAAAUAAGGAAGCUUCGAAGCAGUCUAAUUGUUUUAUCAUAUGUUGCAACUUCAUAAAAUCCAUAUAAACAUUUAGAAAACCAUAACAAAGGCUUCAGUUGUGUUCUAAAUACCUAAACAAGGAAUGAACUGUUCACAACACACACAAAUAGCAAUAAAUGUUGGUUCACAUGGAUAAGUUUCAAAUAAUAAAAUGAAAUUGAAGCCAAUAACUCAAAAUAAGACUUCAAAAUGGACACACAAGGAAAAAAACCAACAACAACAACAAUAAAAACGAAAGGGCAUUUUCACAUGCUGGUUUUAGGAAAUAGCUUUAAAAAUAGUAUGAUCAUCAAACCUUUUUAGAAGGGGCAUCCGAGCAAAUGCUCCAAAAGAAAAUAUAUAUUUCAAGCAUAGCUCUCCACUAGCUUUAGCUGCUAAAGUAUGGUACACAUAGUCUGUUAGCAAUUUCGACUCCUCCUCAGUUAAUAACUCUCCACUUGAAUAAGCACCAAAUCUAGCACUUGUGUACCUGCGUACGAGAUCUGGGCCCCAAGGUCCUAAGCCUCUGGAUAAAAAAAUUGGCCAGGAAAUCAGAAACUGAAGGGUAAAGGCAGCUAAUACAAUCCAAGAUUCAGUUCAACAUACCAAAAGAUCUACCUGAGUGAACACAAAAGACCAGAUGUCCAGAUGUCACAAAACCAAAAGAAAGAAAAGAUGAAUAUUCUCUGUAUACAAGUAUGCAUUAGACAUAUCCUAUUCCGAAGCCGUUAUCAGAAACCCCUUUAGCUCUAAAUAAUUAAAAACCUCAACCUAAACUAUUUAAUUGACAACAGACCAAAUCUUUGAGCGUAUCCAUUAUUGCAAGCAUUAUAUGUACAGCUAGAUUGAUGACACUAAACAAAUCCAUAGAGGAAAAUGUGAUUAGACAUUUUUAAAAAUGCCAACUAAAAUUUCAAAGACAAAACAAUGUAGGUCACACAUCAAUAAAGAGUAAACACAAUGCAAUCAUGAAAUUUGAAAUGACUGAAAGGAGAAAUGAAUCAAUUUUUAUAAGGUCCUCAUCUUAUAAAGCGAUGUUUCAAACAUGCUCAUAAUGGGGGGUGGGGUGGGAGAAUGUAUGCAUACCGAAUAUGAGAAUGUAUGCAUACCGAAUAACCUUCUGAGGAGUAAAAUUAGACUCCCACAAAUGAUUCAAAAUUGCUCCCUUCCAUGUUGCUCUGAAUCGGGUAAUCCACUCAGACUUAGCUUCGGAUUCUGAUGAAAAUCCAGCAGGUCCCACCAAAAUCAAAUGCUGAACAUGCUCAGGAUGCUUGAGUGCAUAUUUAGCAGCAACAUAUCCUCCAAAAGAAUGCCCAAGUAAUAUGAAGUUGCUGAGGUUUUUGGCUUUUCGCCAUUCCUCAAAGGAGUCAAUGAACCAUGCCUCAGUUUCUAUAUUAUUAAAUACAACAUAAUUAAGAGAACUAUUCAGCUGUAAUUUAUGUCAUGAAAAACAGGAACUACUUUGGGCAUCUUCCACACUACUCAGCAAAUGAACACUCUUUAAUUUGAAACAAUGUGAACUUGAUCUAACCUUCAGUGCUUUUGCAGGUAAAAUCAGGUCUACUUGAUCCACCCCAGCUGUAUUUUGGGGAAAAAAAAACCAUAAAUUAAAAUUUAUGGAUAGACAGUGAAUAGUAAGGUUUGAAUGAAAAAUGCUUACUAAUAAGGGGGAAAGGAGACUGAUAUUAUUGUUUGUUGUUUUUAUUAUUUAUUCGGUGUUCUACAUAAAAUUCUCAACCAAAAUAAGCAUGGGCCAGACAAAAACAACUAAAUCCAACUGGAAAAGGACUUCUCAUCUUCUUAUUAAUUAAGAUUUAAAAAAAAGAAGAUGAAAUUCAAAGACUAAUAUAGAAUAUUUCAUUCUCUUUGGGUCAAGCUAAACCCACUACAUAUUUAUAGCAUAGUAAGCAUGGCGGAAGCAUCCAAGAUAGUUGCCAAAUAUUAGAUAGAUUUUGAAGAUUCGAAUUUCAAAACUAGAACUACCAUUCAAUUAUAGAACAUAUAAAGGAAUAUAAUUAAUAAAGCACAAGGCGGAUUGAAGACAGAAAAAAUUAAAAAGAGACAUACCCAAGCUGAUCAACAGCAAUGACCUUGAAACGACUAGCGAGAGCAUCAAAAUUCCGAAAGAAAAAACCUUGAGAAGCUGCAUAUCCGUGGACCAUUACGAGUGUGGGCGAGUCCUCUUUGCUGUCGAAGGUAACCGUGUUAAUGAACCGCGGCUCAUUACUAGCAGAACGAAACCACCUCACUUUGGACCCCGGAGGGCCUGAACCUAUGUUAACUUGUUCUUGAACAUAAGGAGUCUUGACAAGCGAAAGAAGGCGUUUCUCGGCGGCGAUGAUGUGGUCUGUGGAAGUGGGGAUCCAACGGAGAACAGAUGGCCACAGUGAUCUUGUUUUGGCCCAUGAUGAUGUAGAUGAUGAGGUUGAUGCUGCGGUGGUAGCAGCAGCAGAUGAUCCUAGCUCUUCGGCCAUUUUCGAUAUUGAGCUAGAUACCCGCAGGCGAAGCGAGUUCAUAUAAACUAUUUUGUCGCUUUUUGAUGCAAAAUGAAUGCCAAUGCAAAGCAGACGUAUUUAUAGAUCACCACAAAUUGAAAAGAGCAGGAUUUAUGGUUGCUUCUGCUUCCGUAACACGUGGUGAAUGCAAAAGGGGUAACUGAGUAACUCACGAGAUGCGCGUGUAAACAACAUCAUAUUACUUGGAUAAAAA